AACUACAACCACCAUGACUCUCAUCACCAUCCUCAUCUGGACGCUGGCCUGCUGCUGUUUUACAGGAUGCAGCGGUCAGGUGACUGUGACUCAGCCUCCAGUAGUGACAUCUACUCCAGGAUCCACUGUCACUCUCACCUGUAAAACCAACCAAGCUGUUUACAGCUCGGGUGGUUGUGGGCGUCUAAGCUGGUAUCAACAGAAAUCUGGACAGCCUCCAAAGCUCCUUAUUAAAUGUGUGAACACACGUGAAUCAGGAACACCAGCUCGGUUUAGUGGCAGUGGAAGCAGCUCUGACUUCACUUUGACCAUUAAUGGAGUUCAGACUGAAGAUGCAGCAGUUUAUCACUGUCAGAGUUACCACAGUGGUGGAGUGUUCACACAGUGA